GAGACUUUAGGUGCUUCAAGCAAGAGGGGAGUGUAACCAAGGACUGCCACUUCACUCUCCUUCAUAUGCUUAGCCGAACUUAGGAAAGGGUGAGUGUGUCCCAAGACAUCCUGGAGGGAAAAAAAAUGGAACCUGAAAUGUACUACAGCCAACAAAAAUCCUCCCGAAUGUUACUACUAUGUGUCAAGGGACCUAUGUCUUCACAUUUCAAAUAUUUACUUUGCUUUAUCGCUAGAGAUAAAAUAUUUUAUAGUGAGGGUUAGAGACCAAUAACUAAGACCUAUUAUUGGGGCUGUGGAGUUGGGUCAUUGGGUAAAACCUGAUGACCCAAAGUCAGAGCUCAGAACCCCCAAAAAUGCCAGAUGAGGCAAUAGA
rnacentral:lncRNA from 1 species